UACGGUCACAUCCCAGUAAAACACCGAUUCCCAUUCGAUAACCGAAGUUAAGCAAGAUCGAGCCUGGUCAAUAACUAGAUGGGUGACCGCUUGGGAAUACCAACUGCUGUAAU